AUGGGAACAAUGCCGAAUCCCAAAGGGUACGGAGGAACCGUUUAUGGGGUGAAUCCUUUUGGUAGGGAUAUCCUUGCCCGAACCCGUCAGCUAACUCCGGAGGCAAAAGGAAAGGAGAA
rnacentral:sRNA from 2 species